AUGAACGCUGGCGGCGUGCCUAAUACAUGCAAGUCGAGCGAACAGACGAGGAGCUUGCUCCUCUGACGUUAGCGGCGGACGGGUGAGUAACACGUGGAUAACCUACCUAUAAGACUGGGAUAACUUCGGGAAACCGGCGCUAAUACCGGAUAAUAUAUUGAACCGCAUGGUUCAAUAGUGAAAGACGGGUUUGCUGUCACUUAUAGAUGGAUCCGCGCCGCAUUAGCUAGUUGGUAAGGUAACGGCUUACCAAGGCGACGAUGCGUAGCCGACCUGAGAGGGUGAUCGGCCACACUGGAACUGAGACACGGUCCAGACUCCUACGGGAGGCAGCAGUAGGGAAUCUUCCGCAAUGGGCGAAAGCCUGACGGAGCAACGCCGCGUGAGUGAUGAAGGUCUUCGGAUCGUAAAACUCUGUUAUUAGGGAAGAACAAAUGUGUAAGUAACUAUGCACGUCUUGACGGUACCUAAUCAGAAAGCCACGGCUAACUACGUG
rnacentral:rRNA from 1 species